rnacentral:lncRNA from 1 species
UGUACUGUAUAUUCACUGUUCUCCACUCAUGAAGGACUAAACUGUGUUAGUAAUGUGAUUGAUAUAGUUCGUGUUGUUGCUUGCCUGAGACUUAUUGUUUGUUUGUCUUUUUAAUUUAUUACUUGUACUGUUGAGAUUACAUAAAUUAUAUUAAGGUUGUUGAGAGUACAUUUUGUUUCUGGAUAUUUUUUCACCAGUUUAGUUUGUGUAAGUUGUGUGUAUUAAGUAAUAAUUUUUUUUAUUCUUAUUAUGUUGGUUAUAUGUUUUUUUAUUUUUAAACUUGUUGUUUUUACCGGACCUUUAAAACAAAUAUACGAAGACUUGUAGAAAUAACUAUAAAAUGAGUGACAAUUAGUAUUUGAGUCUUAAUGGGUUUUAAACGAAUAUAUGUAUUUCUCAUAAGAAGACAAUAGCAUUGGCAUGUUGACAUUGAGCAUAUAAGCUAUUUUUAUAAGACAAGAAGAGUGAGUAGGUGGAGAUGUUGUUGCCGCAUUUGUGUAUGUUGGGAUUGUCUCUUGUAUCUCCUGGUGUGGCUGUGUUUGUUUCUCU